CAGAGUUGUAAAACUCCCUAAACCCAUCGCUAUCUAUCCUAUAUCGUUGCCUCGGCGCUGGCGGCCCGAGGCCGCGGGCCCGCCGAUCCUGCGGUCUCCGCGCGUCGAGGCUGCCCGCCGGAGGGCCGAAACCACAAACUCUUGAUUUUAUGUGAACUCUCUGAGUAAAAGACUUAAAUAGUCA
rnacentral:misc_RNA from 1 species